CUCAGAGAUCUGCCGGCCUCUGCUUCCCCAGCACUGGGAUUAACCUUAUUUUUUAAGACAGGCCUUGGAGGCUGGAGGGAUGGCUUGGUGGUUAAGAGCAUGAAUGGCUUUACUGCAGGCCCUGAGUUCAAGUCCCAGCACCCACACUGGGCAAUGGAGCACUAUGGGAAGUGUUGACUGGAUUUGAAAUUUCAUGCAUGAAUUCAAUAAACAGUUCCAGCCACGAGUCAAGGGCCUCUCUUACACCCUGAGGUGUCUGUGCAAAGCUUUUCCAUGAACAUUUCAAUCACGCCCGUGUUCCGGUCCACGUGCAUCUUGUAUU